rnacentral:rRNA from 1 species
UACGGAGGUGGCAGGCGUUACUCGGAUUGAUUGGGUGUAAAGGGCAUGUAGGCGGUGCGCUAAGUCGAAUGUGAAAUCCCUUGGCUUAACCAAGGAACUGCAUUCGAUACUGGCGUGCUUGAGUGUUGGAGAGGAAAGUGGAAUUCCCGGUGUAACAGUGAAAUGUGUAGAUAUCGGGAGGAACACCAGGGGCGAAGGCGACUUUCUGGUCAACUACUGACGCUGAAAUGCGAGAGCAUGGGGAGCAAACAGGAUCAGAUACCCUGGUAGUCCAUGCCGUAAACGAUGUGCACUAGGUGUCAGCCCCUUUGGGGUUGGUGCCGCAGUUAACACUUUAAGUGCACCACCUGGGGAGUACGGUCGCAAGACUGAA